UACCCUCCUCAUUUGCUCUCCAUUUAUUCUCCUUGUGUUUGCAGUCCCGGGCCAGUUCGUCAUCGUAUCUCCCUGGAUGUGUCGUGUCAAGAUCCUGCCUUGCCAGCCUGUUUUCCCCCCACGGGGUAGUUUUUGUUGUUUAUUUUGUUUUAUUUGAAUAAAAAGCCCUUAUUUCCUGCAAUAUUGAGUCCUCGCCUCAUCCCUUCAUCCCCAACCCUGACAGUACGAACUGGCCAAGAUGAGGACUCAGCAGAAGAAGGGUUUGCGUUGUCCACCAGCUUCCACUCUCUCCAGCCCCCACUACCAGCGCAUGCUCCAAUUUAAGACCUUGAGCUCCCUCCGUCAACAGGGGGCUGACGUGAGGAAUUUUGCCCUGGAGUUCAGCGGUGCUGCAGAGGGGUUGGGGUUUAAUGAUGCGGCCCUCAAGGACCUCUUUAAUUACGCCAUUGAUGAGCCCCUCAAUUGGUGGAGAAUGAGGGGGCUGGACCACCU